CCGGCGGGCGCGCGCCGGGUGCGCGAGGCGCGGGAGGGAGGCCGGAGGGGAGCCGGAGGGAGGCCUGCGCGGUGCGCGGGGACUCCGCGGACUGCUGCCCAGGGCGGCGAGCAGAGCUUGGGGAGGGGGCAGGCGGCGACGAGGAGGCUCGACUGGCACAGGAGGGCGUAGUGUCCGGCCGCCUCCGGGAGAGGCAGUGUCCGUGCUGGGCCGAUUGCCUUUGUUAGACGCGUACUUUGUGCGGGGCGCUCCAAGAGGCGAGAGCGAGCGCUAGGAGGCGCGUGGAGGCGCUAACGCCUCCCCUGCCCUUUGAAUGUCCGUGUUGCUCCUGCCAAUCUUCCUCCCUGGAACUGCAUCCUAUUGCUCAUGGACAGCACUUCUAGAAUCUCCAGCAAUCUAAUACACGUGGCUAUUGUAAACUGAAAAUCCUGUGCAGUUGAUGCAAUGCUAUGAGUGUAAAACACAUCGAAUCCCAGCAUGGUAACAGCUAGCUGUAAUCCCAGCUACUCAGGAGGCUAUGGCAGGAGGAAAUCAAGUUCAAAGCCAAUCUGAGCAAUUUAUUGAGAUCCUGUCUUGAAAUUUAAAAAAUAAAGAGCUGAGAAUGUAA